rnacentral:pre_miRNA from 1 species
AGCCUUCUAUAUCCAUGCUGAGAUUACAUCAGCAAGCAACCCGCUGGGGCUGAUGCAACUUCCCAAAUAAGUGAAGCG